UACAGAGGGGGCGAGCGUUGUUCGGAAUUACUGGGCGUAAAGGGCGCGUAGGCGGCCUCUUAAGUCGAACGUGAAAUCCCCGGGCUCAACCCGGGAACUGCGUCCGAUACUGGGAGGCUUGAAUCCGGGAGAGGGAUGUGGAAUUCCAGGUGUAGCGGUGAAAUGCGUAGAUAUCUGGAGGAACACCGGUGGCGAAGGCGGCAUCCUGGACCGGUAUUGACGCUGAGGCGCGAAAGCUGAGGGG
rnacentral:rRNA from 1 species